rfam:Williamsia sp. Leaf354 contig_1, whole genome shotgun sequence.
AGGGCCACGGGAUCGACACCGCGGGUGACCACGAGGUAGUCGCGCAUCGCGAGUCCGUGGCGGUUCUC